rnacentral:pre_miRNA from 18 species
GUAAGGUACAAAAUUAUUUUUGCAAUAUGUUCCUGAAUAUGUAAUAUAAGUGUAUUGGGAACAUUUUGCAUCCAUAGUUUUGUAUCAAUAUA